rnacentral:rRNA from 1 species
GACGAACGCUGGCGGCGUGCUUAACACAUGCAAGUCGAGCGGUAAGGCCCUUCGGGGUACACGAGCGGCGAACGGGUGAGUAACACGUGGGUGAUCUGCCCUGUACUUCGGGAUAAGCCUGGGAAACUGGGUCUAAUACCGGAUAUGACCUUACAUCGCAUGGUGUUUGGUGGAAAGAUUUAUCGGUACAGGAUGGGCCCGCGGCCUAUCAGCUUGUUGGUGGGGUAAUGGCCUACCAAGGCGACGACGGGUAGCCGGCCUGAGAGGGCGACCGGCCACACUGGGACUGAGACACGGCCCAGACUCCUACGGGAGGCAGCAGUGGGGAAUAUUGCACAAUGGGCGAAAGCCUGAUGCAGCGACGCCGCGUGAGGGAUGACGGCCUUCGGGUUGUAAACCUCUUUCGACAGGGACGAAGCGCAAGUGACGGUACCUGUAGAAGAAGCACCGGCCAACUACGUG